rnacentral:tRNA from 1 species
GGUAAGGUAAGCUAAUCAAGCUUCUGAACUCAUGAUUCACCCAUGUCGGUUAAAAUCCCACCCUUGCCA